ACCCAGUCAGCUGAGGAUUGCAGUGUAUGAGACCAGCAAAGGUCUGAACUUCACUUCUAUAAGAUCUUGGAAGAUGUGGCAUCUUAUUCACUGACAGUGAAGAGUUCAACACAAACAAAAACCAGGCAGAACAGCAUGCAGCUACCCAGAGGAUGUUGAUUGAAACUUAGAUUACCCCCAGAUCACUGUUGAUUUGACUGAUGCACCAGCUUUACCA
rnacentral:lncRNA from 1 species